GUUUUUGUCACCGAAAAUGUCAACAGUGGAGUCGAUAUUUUAUUGGUGUACAGUGAAACAUCAUUAAUAUUAUUACAAACGCGCUGAGCCACAUUAAAAAGUCAAAGCAGAAGAGUUUGUAAGUUAGCGCACUUCACAUUUGUGCGGUAAUUGCAACGGAAAUAUGUGCUUCUAUAAAGUUAAUGGUAACAUUUGCAACACUCUUAUAAGAUAAGUAGAACAGUGAUGUUUUACAGAAGUAGCUUGUAAUACCCAAAAUGAUCGACAUAUAACACAACAUAUAAAAACGUAGGAAAUAAACGUUAAUAAUUAAAUAUGUUAUUCUGGAACCAUAAACAGAAGUUAUUUCAACUAUCGAGGCAAAACUGAACAGUGUCUAUUUUACACCCUACGUAAGUAUACUCUAAUAUACUGUGCUUAUGACUCGCUACGUAUACUUCUGAUUAAGAUUACAGAUCUACAACAAAUUGAAUUAUUUUAAGGUACACUUGUUUUACUCUAUUGUUAAGGUACCAUGCUCAAAACAAACUGGCGAACAAAAUAUCAUUUUAGUGUCUAUCAACCUUUUUAAUUUACACAGUAUUACACUCAUUAAUAAUUGGCUAUUAAAUCCAAAUGUACCUAUUGCAGAAGGGGCAACCUUUGCAGGUCCAAAUUGCCCUCUUUUUGGAGCAGCAGUAGACCUCUUCACAGGAGCUGAUUUAAUCUGCAACAUUUACACCGAUCUCAUUAAAGUUCACAGCAUGAUCUCAAGCUUAUAUAAGCAGUAUUUUAUGAAACACUUACCGCCCUAUCUGUCUCAUCUGUGCUCUUUCCAACUGAAAUCAGAAAAAUUAAGAGAAACGCUUAGUUUGACGGAAUUACUAGUAUACUUAAAUGAAACUGAUUAAUUCGUGGAGCAUAAUCUAUUGUAGUCAAUGAUGCAUCUAUUUUUAGAACUGUGUACCUAAGUCUGGAUAUAGCCAUGGUGGCUUGUGAAUGUCACAAUGGCAUCCUCUUGCUCUAGCACCUGGGUGCUUCACAAUGUUAUCCCACUGAAGAAUCCAUCUACUACUAGGAUCCCAUAUCUUAUGAUCAAUACUGGGAUACUUUUUUAAUCCUCUGUGCAAGCAGCGGUGGCCGCUUGACACAAUUAUACCGGCAUCAUUCAUUUUACAAGACAAAUACUACUCCGCACAGUUAAUGAACAACAGAAACAUCGAACGAUCUCUUAUGUCUUGUAGAACACAACACAGCACUCAGCAGGAUUUCAGGAAACUCCAUUACAGUGUGAGAAAUCUCCAUUGUGGCAUAGCCUGUUACCUGAUCUUCUGGUUUCCUUCAAAAUUAACAUCCCGCUAAUUAAGAUGGCACACAUCGAUAAAAGGAAUUAUUUCGUAAGACGAAGCGCAAAAAAAUGUCGAUUUGGUCAGAAUUUAAAAAUUGUUCCCCUAGAAAUUUGUACACCGCGUAUUUUUUAACACCGUGUACGCAACGAUCCGAACUAUCAGCAAACGCAUCAGUGAAAGCGAUUUUUAGCGUUUCCUAAUUACAAAAAGAAUCCAUAUAAUCAUUUGUAAUCUCUAUAUUGAAAUCGACGGAAUUAGAUCGAUAACCUGGCUUUACUCCAAUGUAAAUAUGUACUAAGUUCCUCGAACGUUACGAACAUUUUCUAUUUUCCAUGAACGCUAUCCUUCUUGUAUGUUCCCUGACAAUCGCCAACAAGGUAUAAACUUUAUUCGAUAUACCUACAAUGUAACAAAUAGUAACAGGAAAACCGGUUUCAAAAGCCACGGUGGAUAUCAAGUAGCAAUCUGUUUUCCUGAUUGCAUACGAUUUUUAUGAACCGUUUCGAUUAUCCGUCGUUACACAGAAUCAGAAAAGCAAGAGUGGCGAUUAAACUAUACCAGUGGAAGAAGGAAUUACGGUGAACAUGCUUGGCAAAAGACUAAUUUUCAUAAGCGGAUUAAUAAUCUGGAUAAAUACGCAGGUUUUAGCAGAUCUCGAAAUGCAGAAGAUUGCGCCUAUUAUAUUUAUAGCAUAACGGCGUUUAGAAUGACAACCUUGACAACAUAUUCCAAGGUCAUUGUAACCGGAGGUAAUUCCGUUGAACGGUAUAUUUAUCCGAAUCUGUAAAUUCUCGCAAAUCGAAAACCUGACAACGAGAUAGAUCGUUAGAAAUCUUUGAAAUCUAGCGUGGAUCAGACGUAGCGAAAUAUCGCAAAUGCGGGUUACCGAUCAAACUUGGUAUUGAGCACGAGUUCAACGCGCUAAGAUAACGGCCGGCGGGCACGGUCGGUCGAGAUUCAAAUGAAAUGAAAUGAAAUUUCUGUCGCAAGAGGGACGAAAAAAAUGCAAACAACACGUUCUUCUUGGUUCAGCCGAUAAAGACCAAAAUAGCUUCCACAACCGUCCGCAAGGACGAAGAGCAAUCAUCGUUUUCGUGAUAAGACCGCGAUAAAGAUUACAUAUUCCGUCAAAUAUAUUCACAAUUAACCUUCCCCGGACGACUGCGGCGAUUAUCUUUCCACUUUACGUAAGAAUUUUCCGCAUGUAACACCGGCGCAAACGGCAGGCGCGUAUCAAGAAAAAAAAAUGAAUUGUAUUUCCAAGGAUUAUUGCGUCACGGAUGCCGUGUGUGUGACGUUUACGCGUAAUUCAUUACCGCGCACACACGUGUUCAAACACGAGAGCCUUCGUCUCUCCGCGAUGGAACUUCGUCUAUUCGUUUACCUCCGCACAAUUUGCCUUUCACGCAGCGCGCGAUAAACGACCGGGCUUCUUUCCUAGAAAAUGUGUAUCUGCCUGUCGGGAUCUUAAUAAAAGAAAAAAACCGAA